CCAUAUCCCAAUUGAAAUUUUAAAACUUGUUUGUCUGCGGUACCUUUCCCUAAAAUGCAACGGGGAGCUCCCUCCUUCCAUAUCCAACCUUUUUCACCUUCAAUUCUUGAUUAUCAAGCCACAUAUGUACAUUAAAAAGCGUGGAGUUCAGUUUUAUAUGCCUGUGCAAAUUUGGGACAUGCAAGAACUAGAGCAUCUUGAGAUAAUUGGAAGGGACCUACCAACCCCUAAUACUGAUGAUGCUACCUUGAACAAACUCACCAGGCUUGUUGGUGUGAGUGCAAACAGUUGUACAAGGGAAGUUCUCAAAAGAAUUCCUAAUUUAGAGUUAUUAGCAAUUGAAGUGGAGUUGAAGCCUUAUGAUGAUGAUGAUGAUGAAAGAAACCCAUUGAGUUGCUUGGGUUAUAUCUCUCAACUCCAGAAUUUGGUCACACUUGAAUAUUGGGUUAAGAAUCCCGAGAUAAAGUAUGAGUGUAAUACGAUUCCUCUUUCAAUGUUUCCAUCAAGUCUCAAGGUGUUACGUUUGUCUGGGUUAGGGGGAUAUCCUUGGAAUUACAUGAAUGACAUUGGUUCGCUGCUACCAAAUCUCGAGAUUCUCAUAUUAUAUUAUUAUGCAUUUCGAGGCCCAGAGUGGGACAUAACACCGGGGAGUUUUUUGAAACUUAUUGAACUUCGAAUUGAAGACACCGAUUUGGUGCGAUGGAGACCUCAACGUGGAAGCUUCCCGGAGCUUCGUAGACUAAGCAUGAGGCAUUGCUACAAAUUACAGCAUCUCGAUUGGCCAUAUGACCACUCUUGGAUCACAACCAUUGGAUUAACCGACUGCAAUCCUUUAGCUGUCGCUUGUGCGAAGGAAUUAGAAGCCAAAUUUCCCUUUGAACUUCUCGUCGAAUCUUCUUUUGUAGCUCAAGUGAUUCUGCAACUUGCCUUACACGUUAGUCUUUCUACUUUGCAAUAUCAAGUCUUAAUGUUUUGUUACAGUCACAGUGUUUGAGAUUGUCCAUCUACCGAUUUUCAGGCAAAUGAGAGAGCCGAUCGAAGGGGUCAGACACCGCGUUAUCCCAUAAUUUCGAUUCAUGUUGCAUUACCACAUAUUGUCGUAUGUAUUUAAGGAUUGUGAUUUGUAUUGGAUUUUGUUGAUGAUUAUGAAACCUGAGUGCUGAAUUGUGUUUGUAACCAAACUUGUUUUAAGUUGGAUUUGUGUGAAAACAUUAGUCCCUUCAGGAGGUUCGAGAAGUCUCUCAGAGGCCGCGAUGUUGAACAAUGGAUGAGCCGUCGCCGCUUACCUAAAGAUCUUCGAAGGUAACCAAACUUCUUUCUCUUUCUUUCUGAUGAUCAUUGUUGAUUAUCUGUAUGAGCGUUGUCUUCUUCGAAUAACUUGAAAAAUUGCCGAAAAAUUGUGACUCGGGCUAUUAAGUGAACAACGGAGAAGUAAUGAACAUCUUAUCUUUAACAGCUCCGAAUUUUUCAACUUUCAUGCCAAUAUACUAUUUAAUUUGUGGCUUCAUAUUUCAAAUUUAUGAGAUCCCUGAGUAGAAACUCAUCAAUAUGAACAUUAAUUUGUUGAGAUGAAGUCCCUGUUGUGUAUUUGGAUGAGCUUUUUCCAAUAGUCUUAUUCUCAUUUCCAUUUUUGAGAACCUUUGUUGUUGUUGUUGUCGUCUUCUUUUUGUUAUUUUUAUUUCUUUUAAGGUUUAGUUUACAUUUUCUUUAAAAUUUAAAAGUUGUUUGCUGAAGAUUCAUGCCCUCUUAAACUUGACAAAGCCAAAAAAAAAAAAAAAAAAUUGGGGGGCUGAUGACUACAGAAAAGCCAUGAUUUCUAUGAACAAAAUUAUUAUGCUAAUUAAUUAAGUUAUUUCUUCUCCAUUGUAAAUAUAAGGUUCAAAAUGUUGUUGAUUUAGCUAUGAAGUUAAUCUCAUUAAGAGCUCUUGUUGCAAAGAAGAAAAGAAUUGAUUAAUUAUCAUUCACGAAAUUUCUGAAGCAGUUAUCAGAUAACCUAUUACCUAUCAAUUACUUCCUCCGUCCCACUACAAUAUGCUCAUUUUUCUUUUUGGGUAAAAAAGUUAUACUUAAUUGGUGUGGACCACACCACUUUAUUACCACUUUCCUACUAAAAAAAUAGUUUUCUUAAUUUCCGUGCUCAAAAGAAGCGAGCCUAUUGAAGUGGGACGAAGGGAGUAACAUAGACCAAUUGCCUCCUCAAAAACAUAGACCAAUUGGGCUUCUUCAUAUACUAAACAAAAUUUCGGCCCAAUACAAAAUUGAGGCCCAAUUCCAUCAUUUAUCUUUGGGUAAUUUUAUAUGUAGCCAGUAGCCUCCAAAUUUAUCACUACAGCCCCUCGUUAAAAAAUAUAGCUAAACUAUUAACAAAUAUCCAUUUUUACCCCUACAGCCUCAAAUUUAACUUUUAAUAAUUAAUUCCAAAAAUGUUAGGCAAACUACUACUGCAGUUUGAUUUAAAACUUUAUGUGGUAGUACUACAUAAAGUUUUAAAUCAAAUUGCAGUCGCAGUUUUUUUUCUUUUGUUUCUCCCUUCAAAUAUGGGGGCUAUACAAUUUCUUUUAGAAAACGUGGCUAUACAUAUUUGCUGCAAUAGUAAUGUUUGUGGGAUUAGUUAUUGGAAUUUUGAAUUAAGAGAUGUAGGGGUAAAAAUGUAUAUUUAUUAGUAACAUUUUAAUUAUAUUUUUUAAUAAGGGGCUAUGAUAAGAAAUUUGGGGGCUAUGUAUAAAAUUACCCUUUAUCUUUUGAAUUAUGCCUCACUAUUAAAAGGCAUCAAAUUCAACUCAAUUUCUUUAGAAGACAUUCAAAAUCCAUGGCACUUUGGAGUAAGAAAGAAAAUUAAUUACUAUCAAUUUCAAUUUGGAUUUAAAUGACUGAAAUAAGAGACGGCUAAAUAAUUCAUAAAUUUCGACCCCUUUUGGAUUUUAAUUAUUUUUAAUAAGUACUUUUUUCAUAAUUAGAUUAAGUAGUUCUUUAUUUCUUUAAUUAGUUUAAUUGCCACAUAACUAAUCAUGAUCUUUCGAGCCUUCAAUAAAAAAGUAAAACACCCUGAGUUAAAAACUGUGCUGCAAACACUACGAAUAAUUUCCCUCGGUAAUAAUUUUACCGACAUUGAAUUUAACGACGGGCACUUUUAAUCGGUGAUCUCUCGGUAAACAAUAUUACCGAGGGAAAUUAUAUAUUUACCGAGGGAAAUUUCCCUCGGUAAAAAUUAAUUUUUUGUUAUUUUACAUAAGAAAUUUUCCUAUAUAAAUUUUAUACGUUGACUUUUUUAUGAGUUCGUGCAAAAGUUGUUCCCAUUGGUUGUGAUUAAAUAAAAAGUAAUGUUUAUUGUCGAUAAGACACUCUCUUUUGUUUUCACCUUUGUAUGAUGUAGAAUUGUGAAUUGCUUAUUUAAUUAUAUAUUAGAUACCUUUUGUAACUCUACAAAAAAAUACUAUCAUCUUUACAAUCCAACAUUUAAAAAAAAAGUAAUGUUAUUGUAAUUAAAAAAAAUAUUACAAACGACAAUGAUGGAAUUGAUAUUUUUUUAUUGUAAUUUUAUUUUAUUUAAAUUAUUGUAAUAUUUUUAAUUCAUAUAUGGUUAAUUUUUUAUUUUAAUUAAAAUUUUAUUGUUAAAAUUAAAUACAUACACACAUGGAAUUGAUAAGCUUGGUGUAGGACCCAAUAUAAUUAUAUAUAUGAUACUUUAUUAUUAGCUUUAUUGGCGUGCGUUUUCUUUUACGAAAAGUAGAGGUUGAUUGCUCAUAAUUUUCAAGUGGUUGAUUGCUCAUUCUUCAUAAUUACAAUCUUCGGUUGCUUUGUUUCUUGCUACAAUUCUUCCACACAAUUGCAUUCAAAAUCAUCAAUAGAUCGAUUUUACCAUUACAUUAUACACAUCUCUUCAAAUCAUUUACUAAAUUCUUGAAUGUGGUUUUGAAUGUUUCUGAAAUUGUAUCAAAAGCAGCUGCCGCCGCCGUCGAGAGGUAAGCAGAGAAUUGAGAUCUAUCAUUUGUUUCGUCUGCGUUUGCUUAUUAUAAUUCCUUCUUCUUCUUCUUCUUCUUCUUCGUUUCUUUCUUAGGCGACUGAAUUUUAUUCUGGGUUAAUUGCAGUUUAGUUUAAGCUUCAUUUUGGAGGAAAAUUGCAGAGCUAAGCAAUUUCAUUUCAACAAUAUAUCGUAUCUCAGCUGAUAAUUUGGGUAUGGCGGCUUAUGGUGCGGCGGCUUCUCUCAAGAAUACGAUUGAGCGUAUUCUACAAUCGUCUCGCAUUUCUCUCGUUUCCCACUCUCCACAAAUCUUGCAACCUGCCUACGACCAGAUGGAUCGCUUGCAGAAAGUUCUGCUAGGAUUGGAUUACACCAGCUGCAGCAAGAUCAGGACGAAGGUGAAUGCUGCGGAUGAACGAAUCAAAGAGGCAGUUUGGGAAUUUGAAGAUUUACUCGAAUCCCAUAUCUUACAUCAGAUUCUUCCACAGCUCGAAAGCGAGAGACACAACUUGUCAUUCUCUGUAGAUCUGCAGAAUCUGCAAUACCAUGUUGAUUGCUUCGUCAUGACGGUGAAGAUGAUGAAGGUGGAGUACACUAAAGAAAUGAAGAAUAUGGCUGAAGAAGAAGGCGAGCCUAUUUCCUCAAGAAUCGAUUUUGGUGGAAUCAACUCAAAGAUGGUUGGAUUAUCUUCUGCGAUUCAAAAAGCCAGAGAUGAUCUUCUUCAAGAAAAUAGAAAUGUCUAUUCGAUUAUUGGGAUGGUGGGCGUUGGAAAGACGACUCUUGCUAAGCAUAUUUUUGAAGAUCCAUCAAUUCGGAGCCAUUUUGAGUUUCGAGCAUGGGUCAAAGUGGGCAGAAAAUGCGAACCCAAUGAAUUAUUACGCUGCGUUCUAGCUCAAGUGGAUCCCAACGCUUACCGAAUGCUUGCCCAAGGAGAUGAUGAUGAUGAGGAAUUAGUCGGACUAUUGAAAGAAAAAUUGCAGGAUAAGAAAUGCCUCAUCGUGUUGGAUGAUGUUUGGGAGGAACAAGCACUAGAUCGCUUGAUAAAUUGCUUGCGAGAAAAGAAUACUCUUGGAGGGAUUCAAUUCUUACUUACAAGUAGACAAUGUACAACAUAUUGGGGCGUGGGAUUGGGCUUGUUGAAUGAAGAAGAUAGUAAGAAACUACUUGGUGAGAAGGUGUUUGGUGUGAAGGUGUUUAGUGAAGACGGUUUCCCUCCUCAACUUGAGGAACUGGGAGAGAAGAUUGCCAGGAAAUGUGAAGGUCUUCCUCUUAUGAUAGUCACGGUUGCAGAGCUCCUAUCAAAAGCCGACAAGACCCCAGAAUACUGGACUGAGGUAGCCUACAAACAACACAACUCACUUUUUGAGAAAGCAUAUAAUCAAAUAUCAGAGGUACUUUUCCCAAGCUAUGACUACUUACCCCAACAUUUAAAAAUGUUCUUCCUCUAUAUGGGAGUUUUCCCUCCUUAUGUUGAUCAGAGACCAUUCGAUAUUAAUUAUCUUUUGAGUGUUGAGGGAUUUCUUGAACUGAAUGAUGAAAGAACUUUAGAAGGUUUAUGGGAAAAGCUUUCUAAGUGGUAUCAUCUUAUUCUCGACACAGAAAAUUUGUGGUAUUUGAAAAGAGAGUAUCGCGUGCAUUCUUGUUGGCAGCACUUAUGUAAGGUAGAAUCUAGUAGGAUCAAGUUUCUACAUGUCUUACGAGGUUGUGAUGAUGUUAUAAAAGACCAGCGCCGCUUGUGUGUCCAUUCGAACAGCUUAUUCUGCUUCCAACAAGUGUAUGAUUUGAAUAAAAGUGAUUGUGCAUCCACUGCCCGUUCUAUCCUUUGUUAUGGUCCUUAUCACCCAUAUCCGAUCCCAAUACAUGCCAUGGGUGUCAAGUUGCUCAGGGUACUAAAUGCUGAUAAUGUCCGAUUUUACCAUAUCCCAAUUGAAAUUUUGAAACUAGUUUGUCUUCGUUAUCUUGCCCUAACUUGCAACAGGGAGCUCCCUCCUUCCAUAUCCAACCUUUUUCACCUUCAAUUCUUGAUUAUCGAUCCACAACUUCACAUUAAAAAGCGUGGAGUUCAGUCUUAUAUGCCAAUGCAAAUUUGGUACAUGCAAGAACUAGAGCAGAUUCAGAUUUGGGGAAGCGACCUACCAACCCCUAAUACUGAUGAUGCUACCUUGAACAAACUCUGCAGACUUUAUUGUGUGAGUGCAAACAGUUGUACAAUGGAAGUUCUCAAAAGAAUUCCUAAUUUAAAGGAAUUAGGAAUUGAAGUGGAGUUGAAGCCUUAUGAUGAUGAUGAUGAUGAAAGAAACCCAUCGAGUUGCUUGGGUUAUAUCUCCCAACUCCAGAAUUUGGAGAACUUGAAUAUUGGGUUAAUAAUCCGAGAUAAGUAUGAGUGUAAUACGNGUCUUAUAUGCCUGUGCAAAUUUGGGACAUGCAAGAACUAGAGUAUCUUGAGAUAAGUGGAAGGGACCUACCAACCCCUAAUACUGAUGAUGCUACCUUGAACAAACUCAACACACUUUAUGGUGUGAGUGCAAACAGUUGUACAA
rnacentral:lncRNA from 1 species